AGAGUAUUAAUUCAAAGAAGAGUAGUGGGCGUGGUCACCGUGCUUUUAUAGGAGCAAGUAAGUGGUUUUGAGAAAAGUAUUUUUUUCAUAUAAGUAACUGUUUAAUCUGAAAUGUUGUUGAAAUUAAGGUUAACAUGUUCAAAGAAUUUGUAGAAACGGAACAUUUAGUCCUUGGAGUGGGUGCGAAUAGUUGAAGGAGACGACCUGCUAAUUUAAUUGCUAGCAUAAUGUUUGUGUUUUUACCGGGGAAAAUAAGUGGACAGUUUUAACUCGACCGAAAACACCAAGUUCGAGAAAGUUUGUAUUUUACGUUUUUAUUCCCGCUUUCGCACCACGGUGGAGUUUCUGGGGCCGAAGAGUGCGAUCAACAGUGUGCGGCACUCGGUGGAAGAAGUUUGGACACCCCUGAUGUUUUCUGCAGUACAAUAAUGGAAUUCACAGGCAUCACUCUUUUGGAACAGCUUCCAUCCGACAAAACGUUUAUGGGUUGAUGGCGAGGGAAAUCUACAACAAAACAGCAUCUUGGAGCCCGUUUAAAAGCCCCGCAGACGCCCCCACGGACACCGACGUGGUGGUACUGUCGCGGGUGGUACCGCACUGGGGAAAGUGCGGCACACGGGCCACUCUGCGGCCAGUCGCGGGGGCCCAAAGGCCUGGCGGGAUUUUGCCACACAGGCUGAGGAUUCUUUUCUGCCCAUCGUCUGUCUUUGUAGCAAUAGAACUGAUCCUGCAGCCAUGUGUGGACCUGUCAGCUUGCACGUGCUUCUGACAAGUGCAAAAUAAAAUGUAAAAUAGUUUUUGCAAAACAGCGAUGAGUGUUGAUAUUUACAUAGCGCGUGCUAAAUAAUUAUAUUUGCAUGUUCUCCCAUAUUGUGGACGUUUUGAUGAUCAGCAUAUAUUUUUGGAAUAUUAAUAAAGACAGACACUGAA